rnacentral:rRNA from 1 species
CUACGGGGCGCUGCAGGCGCGAAACCUCUACAAUGCACGAAAGUGUGAUAGGGGGAUCCUAAGUGCUUACACUCAGUGUAGGCUUUUGCCAAGAGUAAAUACCUUGGCGAAUAAGUGGUGGGUAAGACCGGUGCCAGCAGCCGCGGUAACACCGGCGCCACGAGUGGCAUACACAAUUAUUGGGCCUAAAGCGUCCGUAGCCGGUCAGAUAAAUCUUUUGGGAAAUCAUGGGGCUUAACUCCAUGGCGUGGAGAGGACACUGUCUGACUUGGAACCGGGAGGAGUCAGAGGUAUUCUGGGGGGAGCGGUAAAAUGUUAUAAUCCCCGGAGGACCACCUGUGGCGAAGGCGUCUGACUAGAACGGAUUCGACGGUGAGGGACGAAGGCCAGGGGAGCGAACCGGAUUAGAUACCCCCGUAGUC